GAUGAACGCUAGCUACAGGCUUAACACAUGCAAGUCGAGGGGCAGCAUGAACUUAGCUUGCUAAGUUUGAUGGCGACCGGCGCACGGGUGAGUAACACGUAUCCAACCUGCCGAUGACUCGGGGAUAGCCUUUCGAAAGAAAGAUUAAUACCCGAUGGCAUAGUUCUUCCGCAUGGUAGAACUAUUAAAGAACUUCGGUCAUCGAUGGGGAUGCGUUCCAUUAGGUUGUUGGCGGGGUAACGGCCCACCAAGCCUUCGAUGGAUAGGGGUUCUGAGAGGAAGGUCCCCCACAUUGGAACUGAGACACGGUCCAAACUCCUACGGGAGGCAGCAGUGAGGAAUAUUGGUCAAUGGACGAGAGUCUGAACCAGCCAAGUAGCGUGAAGGAUGACUGCCCUAUGGGUUGUAAACUGCUUUUAUAAGGGAUAAAGUGAGUCUCGUGAGACUUUUUGCAUGUACCUUAUGAAUAAGGACCGGCUAAUUCCGUGCCAGCAGCCGCGG
rnacentral:rRNA from 1 species